GACGAACGCUGGCGGCGUGCUUAAUACAUGCAAGUCGAACGGAAAGGCCCUGCUUUUGCGGGGUGCUCGAGUGGCGAACGGGUGAGUAACACGUGAGUAACCUGCCCUUGACUUUGGGAUAACUUCAGGAAACUGGGGCUAAUACCGGAUAGGAGCUCCUGCUGCAUGGUGGGGGUUGGAAAGUUUCGGCGGGUGGGGAUGGACUCGCGGCUUAUCAGCUUGUUGGUGGGGUAGUGGCUUACCAAGGCUUUGACGGGUAGCCGGCAUGAGAGGGUGACCGGCCACAUGAGGACUGCGAUACGGAGCAGACUCCUACGGGAGGCAGCAGUGGCGAAUAUUGCACAAUGGGCGGAAGCCUGAGGCGGCAACGCCGCGGGCGGGAUGACGGCCUGCGGGUUGUAAACCGCUUUCGCCUGUGACGAAGCGUGAGUGACGGUAAUGGGUAAAGAAGCACCGGCUAACUACGUG
rnacentral:rRNA from 1 species